UACGUAGGGGGCUAGCGUUGUCCGGAAUCAUUGGGCGUAAAGCGCGUGUAGGCGGUCCGGUAAGUCCGCUGUGAAAGUCGGGGGCUCAACCCUCGGAUGCCGGUGGAUACUGUCGGGCUUGAGUACGGAAGAGGCGAGUGGAAUUCCUGGUGUAGCGGUGAAAUGCGCAGAUAUCAGGAAGAACACCCGUGGCGAAGGCGGCUCUCUGGGACGGUACUGACGCUGA
rnacentral:rRNA from 1 species